GGCCUUGUAUUCAUCGUUGUGAUUAUAGAAUGCAAUUCUGUAGGGGUAAGUUGAAGGACUUAUCAAGGCCU
rnacentral:tRNA from 1 species